AUUAAUUUGUGUUUUAUUAUUAUCAGUAUUAAUCUUGACAAACAAGUGAAUUAUUUUGAAAGUUAAAUCAUGGACUUCAGAAUCACAUCAGUGAUCCUACUUCUAAACAUUUCAGGCUCUCUAACAUUGAACCGCAUCUCUGUGAUAUGUAAGAAUAUUUGUGCUCGGAGAGAAACCAAUGUGCAGUUGAAGUGCUCUUAUGACAACAUCCACACCAAAACUGCGUUCUGGUUCAGUGAAAAACAAAGUACAAACUGGAGAAGAAACAAUGAACCUGAAGAUUUGACUUUAGACUCAGAUUAAUCAGGACGGGUGGAGCAGAUCAUUGGUAAAUAUGAAGCAGAACUCACAAUAUCAGACGUUAGAGAGAGAGACUCUGGAGAAUAUCAGCUCAUGUUCGUGGAGAAUGUUGUUAAACAUCUCAGCUCAGCGGCCGUCAGUCUAACAGUCACAGACUUGCAGGUGAGGAUGUAUCCUGCAUCUACAGACCAGAGAGAUCAGAAAGUAAAACUGACCUGUGAGACUUCCUGUGAUUUGAC